rnacentral:ncRNA from 2 species
AAAGCAACACAAGCGCCAGAGCUUGCGACAUGGAAAGCGCUGCAACAAACCAUUCCCAUCGGAGGGAAGAGCGGCUGUGCAAGCUGACGAGGUGGAGGCGUUCGAGUUUUUCGGCGGGGACCUCCCGGUACACAUUCAUACCGUAAGCCGUUACGUAAAACGACGCGGGCGACCGGUCGGACAAUCGUGCGGCGGAGUGGAUAGC